rnacentral:rRNA from 1 species
UACGAAGGGACCUAGCGUAGUUCGGAAUUACUGGGCUUAAAGAGUUCGUAGGUGGUUAAAAAAGUUGAUGGUGAAAUCCCAAGGCUCAACCUUGGAACUGCCAUCAAAACUUUUUAGCUAGAGUAUGAUAGAGGAAAGUGGAAUUUCUAGUGUAGAGGUGAAAUUCGUAGAUAUUAGAAAGAACAUCAAAUGCGAAGGCAACUUUCUGGAUCAUUACUGACACUGAGGAACGAAAGCAUGGGUAGCGAAGAGG